rnacentral:rRNA from 1 species
GAUGAACGCUGGCGGCGUGCCUAAUACAUGCAAGUCGAGCGAACGGACGAGAAGCUUGCUUUUCUGAUGUUAGCGGCGGACGGGUGAGUAACACGUGGAUAACCUACCUAUAAGACUGGGAUAACUUCGGGAAACCGGAGCUAAUACCGGAUAAUAUUUUGAACCGCAUGGUUCAAAAGUGAAAGACGGUCUUGCUGUCACUUAUAGAUGGAUCCGCGCUGCAUUAGCUAGUUGGUAAGGUAACGGCUUACCAAGGCAACGAUGCAUAGCCGACCUGAGAGGGUGAUCGGCCACACUGGAACUGAGACACGGUCCAGACUCCUACGGGAGGCAGCAGUAGGGAAUCUUCCGCAAAGGGCGAAAGCCUGACGGAGCAACGCCGCGUGAGUGAUGAAGGUCUUCGGAUCGUAAAACUCUGUUAUUAGGGAAGAACAUAUGUGUAAGUAACUGUGCACAUCUUGACGGUACUUAAUCAGAAAGCCACGGCUAACUACGUG